AAAUGAAUAGACGGGGGCCCGCACAAGCGGAGGAGCAUGUGGUUUAAUUCGAUGAUACGCGAGGAACCUUACCUGGGCUAGAACGUAGAGUGACUGUGGGUGAAAGCCUACUUCCCUUCGGGGCAGUCUACGAGGUGCUGCAUGGUUGUCGUCAGCUCGUGCCGUGAGGUGUCGGGUUAAGUCCCAUAACGAGCGCAACCCCUAUCUUUAGUUGCCAACAGGUCAAGCUGGGGACUCUAAAGAAACUGCCUACGCAAGUAGUGAGGAAGGUGGGGAUGACGUCAAAUCAGCACGGCCCUUACGUCCAGGGCUACACACGUGCUACAAUGGCCGAUACAGAGGGCAGCUACCAGGUGACUGGAUGCAAAUCUCCAAAGUCGGUCUCAGUUCGGAUCGGAGUCUGCAACCCGACUCCGUGAAGUUGGAUUCGCUAGUAAUCGCGCAUCAGCCAUGGCGCGGUGAAUACGUUCCCGGGCCUUGUACACACCGCCCGU
rnacentral:rRNA from 1 species